AUUCCAGCUCCAAUAGCGUAUAUUAAAGUUGUUGCAGUUAAAAAGCUCGUAGUUGAACUUCUGAUAGUUGAUUUGGCUGGCUUCGGUCGCCUUGUUGGCUGUCAUCCGCUUGGGAAUUUCGUUCGGUCUUCAUUGAUUGGCGGGGGGAUCAAGCAUUUUACUUUGAAAAAAUUAGAGUGUUCAAGGCAGGCUAUCGCCAUGAAUACACAAGCAUGGAAUAAUGGAAUAGGACUCUCAGUCAUUUUAUUGGUUAUUGACUGAAAGUAAUGAUUAAUAGGGACAGUUGGGGGCAUUCGUAUUUAAUUGUCAGAGGUGAAAUUCUUGGAUUUAUUAAAGACGAACUUAUGCGAAAGCAUUUGCCAAGGAUGUUUUCAUUA
rnacentral:rRNA from 1 species